UCCUACUAGGGUUGGUCGCCAUCUUAGGUCGGGGCGAAGGGGGCGAUAUUUCCUUUGAGCCACCGCUGUUUGUGGGUUUGUGGCCCCCCAAGAAAAAAGCGUGUACACGCCGAAUGCCCCCAGCGCCCCCAGGAGUGUUGGAGAGUCUCCUGGUUUACCCAAGUCGAGAAACGUGCUAGGACUCGGAUGCUCUCGAUUUUGGUCUUCAUUUGGAAACAGUUUGCCGUUAUAUUUUAUACAAGAGGCAAGUUAAAAUCAGUCUUAUAAGAAUUUUUUUGCAUAUUAACAAAAUAGGCAAAUGAGAAUGAAAAUCUUUGAAGAAUUUUGUUAGAAUAAUCAAAGCAAAAUGUUACCACAGUAUCUAGCAUGUGAGGAUACUUGUAACUAUUCUACCUAAGUAUAAAUUGCCUGAAUAAAUGAAAUUCAGUUUUAUACAACCUGGGGCAUCAAAAUGGGGCAGAAAUUCCUGAAUAUCAAAAAAAUUAAAGACUGACAAGAAAUAAAUCUGUCCUUAGUUAAA